rnacentral:rRNA from 1 species
CCUACGGGAGGCAGCAGUGGGGAAUAUUGGGCAAUGGGCGCAAGCCUGACCCCGCAACGCCGCGUGAAGGAAGAAGGCUCUCGGGUUGUAAACUUCUUUUAUUAGGGACGAAGCAAGUGACGGUACCUGAUGAAUAAGCAACGGCUAACUACGUGCCAGAAGCCGCGGUAAUACGUAGGUGGCAAGCGUUAUCCGGAUUUACUGGGUGUAAAGGGCGUGUAGGCGGGAAAGCAAGUCAGAUGUGAAAACCAUGGGCUCAACCUGUGGACUGCAUUUGAUACUGUUUUGCUUGAGUACUGGAGAGGCAGACGGAAUUCCUGGUGUAGCGGUGAAAUGCGUAGAUAUUAGGAGGAACACCAGUGGCGAAGGCGGGCUGCUGGACAGCAACUGACGCUGAGGCGCGAAAGCGUGGGGAGCAAACAGGAUUAGAUACCCCAGUAGUC